rnacentral:lncRNA from 1 species
CUUCGAAGCCCCUUUUAUUGAAGUUGGAUCCUAUUUCCAGAAGAGGACCAGUAUUGUAUGGAAUGAUUUUGAUAGAGUUUUAGUUGAUGGAGUCUAUAAGGUAAAAUAUAAAAAAAUAUUAAAUUAUAUAGUUAUGCCAGCUCUGAAGGAUCUGGUCAUUUGAAGAGACAUCAAGAAUCUCGUAAGGUAAGUGAUUCUCAUCUUCAAAGCACCCUUAAUACACAAGGAGAUGCCCUU